rnacentral:rRNA from 1 species
ACGGAGGGUGCAAGCGUUAUCCGGAUUCACUGGGUUAAAGGGUGCGUAGGUGGGCAGGUAAGUCAGUGGUGAAAUCUCCGGGCUUAACCCGGAAACUGUCGUUGAUACUAUUUGUCUUGAAUGUCGUGGAGGUUAGCGGAAUAUGUCAUGUAGCGGUGAAAUGCUUAGAUAUGACAUAGAACACCUAUUGCGAAGGCAGCUAACUACGCGAAUAUUGACGCUGAGGCACGAAAGCGUGGGGAUCAAACAGGA